rnacentral:rRNA from 1 species
AACGAACGCUGGCGGCAUGCCUAACACAUGCAAGUCGAACGAGACCUUCGGGUCUAGUGGCGCACGGGUGCGUAACGCGUGGGAAUCUGCCCUUGGGUUCGGAAUAACAGUUGGAAACGACUGCUAAUACCGGAUGAUGACGUAAGUCCAAAGAUUUAUCGCCCAAGGAUGAGCCCGCGUAGGAUUAGCUAGUUGGUGAGGUAAAGGCUCACCAAGGCGACGAUCCUUAGCUGGUCUGAGAGGAUGAUCAGCCACACUGGGACUGAGACACGGCCCAGACUCCUACGGGAGGCAGCAGGGGGGAAUAUUGGACAAGGGGCGAACGCCUGAUCCAGCAAUGCCGCGUGAGUGAUGAAGGCCUUAGGGUUGUAAAGCUCUUUUACCCGGGAUGAUAAGGACAGUACCGGGAGAAUAAGCGCCGGCUAACGCCG